rnacentral:rRNA from 1 species
GCCCGAUGAACCUGAAUAUCCAUUAUGGAAAAUUCAUCAUUAGAGUUAUAAUAUUUUAACAAUAUUUAUACAAAUAAUGUGCAUUUUUUCCAUAUAAGGACAUUGUAAUCUAUUAACAUAUAAAAAUUUAUCAUAAAAUAUGGCUUAUAGUUUAUUCAAAUUAUUAUGCUUGCAUUUUAACACAGAAUAAAUGUCAUUAAUUUGAUAAAGUGUUGAUAGAUUAAUAAAAAUACAGUGCGUUAAUUUUUCGGAAUUAUAUAAUGGCAUAAUUAUCAAUGAUUUUUAUGUUUAUUAUAUGCAUUUGUAUGAUUAACAAUGCGAAAGAUUCAGGAUACUUCGGG